CACGCGCCGCCUGCGGCCUUAAAGGGGCAGCGCGCACCUGCGUUCCCGUGGGCUCUACGGCAGGAGGGCAGCCAAUGGCCACGGACAGCUUCAGAACGAAGAGCGGAAGUGGUUUGCAGUAGAGAGGAGUACAGAAAGUCAGCCACCCAGGGAGAAAACUGGCACCAAAGAACAUGUCACCCAUACAGCAAAGCUGGGGUUACCUGUAUAGCAUCAAAGCUGCAAUCACCAUCAAAAUCAACAGAAUACUGAGGAGCCCACCGAUGGCGUAGCUGAUGUGAAGUCCUUCACCUAGGAGAACAGGCAGGGAAUAAGGAAACCACCCAGAGGGAGUGUCCUGAUGGUACACUUGCAACGCUCAGGAGGUAACUCUGGCAUAUUAUGGCAAGCAAUUGGAGGCACCUCCCAACAGCCUUGAAAAAAGCCCUACAGUACAAGAGCAUCUGAAGCCAAGAUACAAUGAAUCUUCAACUGGAACUCCAGUGAGAAAGGCCUGAGGAAGUGACAUGGUGAGCAACUGUAAUCCCAGCACUUGGAGGAUCCCAAGUGUGAGGACAGCCUAAGCUACAUACCGUGCCUGUCUGGAAUAAAAGUUCAGGUGGAAGGAGAGGUGGGGUGCAUAGGAUCAGGGUAUAUAUGUGUGAAAUUAUUAAAAAAUAGCUAAAAAGUGAAAUACUAUUAUGAUUGUUAUUAUUAUUUCUUCAAUUGUGGGACACAUGCACAUAAAAAGGGCUUAUUAACGAGAAAAAAAUAGAGGAGACUGUUUUCUUUUAUCACCUAUGUUCUGCUUAGUUAUGUGGGAAGGUGUUUUUCUUUAAAGUUAUAUCACACUUAAAUAAUCAAAACAUUUAUUACCAUAGACUAUAAAGAAAUAACAAGGGAGGCUGGGCAGUGGAUCU